AGGACGAACGCUGGCGGCGUGCUUCAUACAUGCAAGUCGAACGAGAAUCUGGCUUCGGUCAGAGGAAAGUGGCGGACGGGUGAGUAAUGUGUAGAGAAUCUGCCCUUUAGUGGGGGACAACAGUUGGAAACGACUGCUAAUACCCCAUAUGCGCGUAGCUGAGAUGCUAUUCGUGAAAACUCCGGUGCUAAAGGAUGAGUCUGCAUCUGAUUAGCUAGUUGGCGGUGUAAUGGACCACCAAGGCGACGAUCAGUAGCUGGUUUGAGAGGAUGAUCAGCCACAAUGGGACUGAGACACGGCCCAUACUCCUACGGGAGGCAGCAGUAGGGAAUUUUGCGCAAUGGGGGAAACCCUGACGCCAGCAGCGCCGCGUGAUUGAAUAAGCCCUUCGGGGUGUAAAGAUCUGUCAGUAGGGACGAAACUUGACGGUACCUACAGAGGAAGCAUCGGCUAACUCCGUGCCAGCCGCCGC
rnacentral:rRNA from 1 species